UGGGGAAUAUUGCACAAUGGGCGCAAGCCUGAUGCAGCCAUGCCGCGUGUAUGAAGAAGGCCUUCGGGUUGUAAAGUACUUUCAGUCGGGAGGAAGGUGGUAAAGUUAAUACCUUUGCUCAUUGACGUUACCCGCAGAAGAAGCACCGGCUAACUCCGUGCCAGCAGCCGCGGUAAUACGGAGGGUGCAAGCGUUAAUCGGAAUUACUUGGCGUAAAGCGCACGCAGGCGGUCUGUCAAGUCGGAUGUGAAAUCCCCGGGCUCAACCUGGGAACUGCAUUCGAAACUGGCAGGCUAGAGUCUUGUAGAGGGGGGUAGAAUUCCAGGUGUAGCGGUGAAAUGCGUAGAGAUCUGGAGGAAUACCGGUGGCGAAGGCGGCCCCCUGGACAAAGACUGACGCUCAGGUGCGAAAGCGUGGGGAGCAAACAGG
rnacentral:rRNA from 1 species